AACGAACGCUGGCGGCAGGCCUCAAACAUGCAAGUCUAGGGGGUGUAGCAAUACAUCACCGGCGGACGGGUGCGUAACACGUGGGAAUAUACCUUUUGGUUCGGAACAACGCAGGGAAACUUGCGCUAAUACCGAAUGUGCCCUUACGGGGAAAGAUUUAUCGCCAAAGGAUUAGCCCGCGUAGGAUUAGCUAGUUGGUGAGGUAAUGGCUCACCAAGGCUCCGAUCCUUAGCUGUUCUGAGAGGAAGAUCAGCCACACUGGGACUGAGACACGGCCCAGACUCCUACGGGAGGCAGCAGUUGGGAAUCUUGGACAAUGGGGGAAACCCUGAUCCAGCCAUGCCGCGUGAGUGAUGAAGGCCUUCGGGUUGGUAAACUACUUUCGUACGGGGACGAGUAAUGACGGUACCCGUAGAAGAAGCUCCGGCUAACUUCGUGCCAGCAGCCGCGGU
rnacentral:rRNA from 1 species